rnacentral:rRNA from 1 species
UACGUAGGGGGCAGGCGUUGUCCGGAUUUAUUGGGCGUAAAGAGCGUGUAGGCGGCCAGGUAGGUCUGGUGUGAAAACUCGAGGCUCAACCUCGAGAGGUCAUCGGAAACCAUCUGGCUAGAGUCCGGAAGAGGAGAGUGGAAUUCCCGGUGUAGCGGUGAAAUGCGCAGAUAUCGGGAAGAACACCUAUGGCGAAGGCAGCUCUCUGGGACGGUACUGACGCUGAGACGCGAAAGCGUGGGGAGCGAACAGG